rnacentral:rRNA from 1 species
GACGUAGGGGGCGAGCGUUGUUCGGAAUUACUGGGCGUAAAGCGUGCGUAGGCGGACUUAUAAGUCAAGGUUGAAAUAUCCGGGCUCAACUCGGGGCACGGCCUUGAUACUGCAAGUCUUGAGUCAAGUAGAGGGUAAUGGAAUUCCCGGUGUAGCGGUGAAAUGCGUAGAGAUCGGGAGGAAGGCCGGUGGCGAAGGCGGCGCUCUGGAACAUUUCUGACGCUGAGGCUCGAAAGCGUGGGGAGCAAACAGG